rnacentral:rRNA from 1 species
GACGAACGCUGGCGGCGUGCCUAAUACAUGCAAGUAGAACGCUGAAGGCGGAUCUUGCUUCUCUGGAUGAGUUGCGAACGGGUGAGUAACGCGUAGGUAACCUGCCUGGUAGCGGGGGAUAACUAUUGGAAACGAUAGCUAAUACCGCAUAACAGUAGAUAUCGCAUGAUAUCUACUUGAAAGGUGCAAUUGCUUCACUACCAGAUGGACCUGCGUUGUAUUAGCUAGGUGGUGAGGUAACGGCUCACCAAGCCGACGAUACAUAGCCGACCUGCGAGGGGGAGCGGCCACGCUGGGACGGGGACACGGCCCAGAAUCCUACGGGAGGGAGCAGGAGGGAAUCUUCGGCAAUGGACGGAAGUCUGACCGAGCAACGCCGGGUGAGUGAAGAAGGGUGUCGGAUCGUAAAGCUCAGUUGGAAGAGAAGAACGAGUGUGAGUGUGGAAAGGGCAGACUGUGACGGUAUCUGAACAGAAAGGGACGGCUAACUACGUG